CACCAUCUCGAGCAGCCAUGAGGCUUAGCAGCAAGAUAUUAUUACUCGCCAUUGUACUUGCCAUGUUACCAUCAGGUAAGACUAAGCAUGAUAACAUCAGUUUGUCUGGUCAGGUAGUUUAUUUGGGAUGGUAGAACGAAUGAACAAUCAUGGCACCAUUUAAUUUUAUUCUUGUGUGCGGCGGUGUCUUGCAGAGAUUUGUACUUCUAGGGUCGUGCCUAUGGAGGAUGGCCACUUCACCACAGAUUACUCACCAUCAACAUGCUCACGGAUCAUUCGCUUUGGCACAUGUGUGUAACACCCCAAAAAUUUGACCCUGUUUUAUUAAUUAAAAUUUUGCCAGGAAAUCAAAUUUUUAUUUUUCUGGAUUUCUCUUUUGAUUUCAGAACCCCUCUUCUCUUUAAUAUUGUGGAGUUUUACCUCAAGUGGAACUUUCCAAAAAUAUUGUGGGACUUGUAUACUCUCCCAAUAAAACAAUUCUUCAUCAGUGGAUUAAAUUGCAUAAUUGUUUUUCCUGAGUUUUAUUCUUUUAAAAUGAUCUUUCAAAAAUUUGGAGCCUCUUUUGCACUGCAACCAUUUGAUUAAUGCAUCUAAAAUUUUCACCAAAAUUUGGGGAUGUCAUGUGAUGUUUCCACAUCACUUUUAUGCAAAAAUAUCUUUUGGUUAUUGGAGAUUUUGAGCUCUACAUCAAUUUUUCAAAUCUGGUCCAGUAGGUAUCUUUGCACUACAACCUAUUUAAAUAUUCUUCUAAAAAUUCUUCCAAGUGUUUGGAGAUGUCAGUAGAUGCUCACAAUUCAACUUCAUGCAAAAACCCAGUGAUGUUCUUUGAAAGAUUUGAGUGAAUCAUCCUCAUCUUCAUUCUGUUCCAGUUUGGUGAUUUGUACUGCAAUCCUAUCUUAUUUUGCUCUAGUGCCCAUGAGCUUUUUCCUACUGGUAGCCCUCCCUACCAAACCCUUAAGUCCAGGAGAGUGGACCCAUUGGAGGAUUUUUAGUGCAUGCAAUGAUAGCCUUUAGUUUCUGCCCAAAACUGGUUUUCUCAAAAACUUGCACUAACAAAUUUCUGUUUUUGCCAAACUUACCUUACCACCUCCUUUAGCUCCUAAAGAGACUAGGAUCUGGAGAUUUUGGCCACCCCAAGAGUUGCCUAGAUGCCCAUGGCAUUCUGUCGAACACCCUGUGUGCAGGAACAGUUUUGGCAUAUUUUCUAGUUUGCAUUGUGGACUUGAGCCCCUGACCCAUCCAGCAUGUCCUCUAACCUCCUAGCUAUCCCUAACCCAGGCCUGCUGAUCCCCAGCCUCAUCCAAGCUCUCUAGCAUGCCCUGGCAUUUCGUCGAGCACGUAGCGUGCGUGCGCUAGACGCGGCCAGAGCGCGCGUUUUGCACGUGCGUGCGCACAGGUCGCCGCGUCCCGCCUCCUGACCCUUGCUCGCCUGCAGAGCCACGCCCUGCCCUCGCCCACUCACCAGAACCCUCCAAGCCUCCCUGGCGCCCUAUAGCGCCGCCGUCAGGGCUCCCUUGGCGGCACGCCGGCGUCGGCAGCGGGCUCUGCCGUGGACGGCGCCGCCCAAGCCGCCUGCGGGCGCCAGCUGCCCCCUGGAACAGCCCGAGCCUAUCCUCAAGCCCGUCGACUAGUGCUCGUCGCCGCCACGUCGCCCUAGCCACUACAGAACGGCGACUCGUCGUCGUUCUUAUCCACCACCGCGGGAGCAGCCUCGUUGCGCUAUAAAAGGAGGCCCCGAGCUCCUCCGACCACUCAGGCAACCCCAGGCCACCCCCAUAGUACUCCCGCAGCCAGCAAUCGACGGGGAAGGGCCUUCUUCCUCGUCUCCGGCCAGUUCGGCCGCCGCCGAGCUCUGGUGCCAUGCGUUGCAACCAGACCCUCCCCCGUCCAUCCAACACCACCAUCCGUCUCCCCAUGGUCUUGCGGAGCUGCCCAGCGCCUCAGCCUCGACCAAGGACCACCAUAGCCCGAAGCCCCAUUUGCUCCCGAACCACCGUCCGCCGCGGAGCUCGCCGCCGGUGACUUCCUCCGUCCCCACCUGCCUAGCGCCCACCGGGAGGACCGCCCUAGACUGGCGGAUCCAUCCCUGCCCUCGGGGCCCCGUGGGAAGCUGCCGUUCAUCGACGGCGAUUGCCGGAGUCCCGCCACCGUUCGGGCAGAGGGAGAGGAGGGAGAAAAGGACUAGUCAAACCUGACCAGUGGGCCCCCUGGACCCACUGUCAGUGACCCACGCGCCACCCACGCUGGCUUUAAUGAAAGCGUAAAAGUCCCGAGUACGUCUCCUCUGCUUCGAAAGCGUAUUUUUCCCCGAAGCGUUUUCUUUUUCUGAUUUUAUUAAAAACAGAACUUUGACUAAACUUUGACUGGCUAUAUCUUUUAAAAUAAAACUCCAAAUGAGUUGAUUCUUUUUCCUACCUCUUUCAAAUUUCAUCUAGUUUAUUUUUAAGAUUUAUUUCAAAAAUAUUUGGGACAACUUUUUGUACUGUUUUUGAAAUAUGUGUCAUUUGAAUAUUUCUCAAAAUAGGAUUUUGGAGAAAAAGGCAACCUUCAAAAAGUGCACCCCCACAUGCAUACACCUGAAGGCAAGCAUUCUAAACUCUGGCAUAAUAUUCUUGUGUGUUGUUGAUACGGUUACAACACCACCUUGACUUGGAACAUACGUUAUUUUUUUGUGACGAUAAAAUCAUACGCAUGGUUGCAUAUUGGAGAUGCCUUGCUGUUAGAAAUGGAUAUGCUGGUGAUAGUGAUCAUCCUCGUAAGCUUCUCAUGCAUACCGGAAGGAAGCCGGGUAAGUCGCGGUCUUGGGUAGACACGAGCUUGUCCCUAGUUCCUCGUUGAGACGAGUAUGUCCGGUAUGGCAUGGUGAGGCUUGAUGAGUGGUGAGCUUACCUGUUACUGGAAAUAUUUUUUUGUUAUGCUAACCAUGCAGAGAAUACUUGAACCUCCUGAGUCGGCCGUAGAUCGAGUCUUGUUCCAGUAACCCCCAUACUUGCUUCGUACUACCACUUGUCCCUACCAUAGGUAGGGUACGGUUCAGUAAGUUGUCAACCCCUUUCUAGCACACACCGUACAGAGAGGCCGUGAUGAGGGUCCCAUGGCCAUGGAUUAAAGCCAGUCAUCCGGUCAGGGGGCAUGGGUGUUUCGGUUGUAGCCGAAGGGGUAGCUCCCCUAGUUUGCGCGCGGUAUAAAUUUUGUGAUCCCAUGCUACGUCGAGGUUGUAGCCUCCCCACUUAGAGUUUUGCUUGACAGGUGUCGUGGGUGAUUCCAGACACCGGUAAGUUAAGCUGGUGUGUGCAGGUCAGGCGUGUUUUCAAUUAAAAGACCGUGGACGGAAUUAGUCCCAAUGGACUAAAGAAAUCCGUUACCCGUGGGCAAAGAGUACACCCUCUGCAGAGAUUAUACAUCUAUUCGAAUAGCCGUGUCCACGGUUAAGGACUACAGUCUGGGAUGGGUCAAGUGUCGGUCUUCGGAGGAAAAACUGCUAAAUCAGAACAUUGAUUAUGAACUGUGACACAUGUGGAUUAUGAUUAUUAUUAUUGUGGACUAACCAUUUACUUUAUUUGAAGUAUUGAGUAUCCCUGGGACGGUUCUACCUCCUGGAUAUUCACUGUGAUUAUUCUUAUAUAAGCCCUCUAUGUGGUGUCGCUCAGACGCCCGACUGCGGCAUGCGUGUUAUUUAAUUUUUCUUUAUAAGCCCUUUAUGUGGUGUCGCUCAGACGCCCGACUGCGGCAUGCUUGUUAUUUAAUUAUCCUUUAUAAGCCCUUUAUGCGGUGUCGCUCAGACGCCCGACUGCGGCAUGCUUAUUAUUUAAUUAUCCUUUAGAAGCCCUUUAUGCGGUGUCGCUCAGACGCCUGACUGCGGCAUGCUUGUUAUUUAAUUAUUCUGUAUAAGCCCUUUAUGUGGUGUCGCUCAGACGCCCGACUGUGGCAUUGUUAAUUUAUUUGCACCCUUUCGAGGAGUCAAUUCAGACACUCGAUCGGUGCAUUCUAUUUCUAUAUUGCAUAUUCAUAUUUUACCCGCAUGCGUACAUCAUGGAUUUCGUAUAUUUCGUGACAGACGUUAUGAUCAUAGAAUAUUUCGGAGCAUGUUUUGAUAUAUUAUACCCGUGUUCUUGAUGUUUGCGAGUACAUUCAAACGUACUCACUGGCUUGUCCCUGGCUAUUGUCUUGGCCAGAUUUCUUGCGUGGAGAAGAGCGUUACGACGACAGCCCCGGAAUCUACGCAGUGUUGAUAGCAGCCUCGAGAAGAUAGGAGUUAUCCUGGUCAGCUGUUCUUGUGGGAAAUGGAGUCCCAUAGACGCAGAUGAACCACAAACCGCUUCCGCCAUCAACCGCUAGAAACCAGGUGUCGUACUCAUAGGCCACAAUGGUCUUGUACUACAUAUUUUGUACUUUGCUUGGAAUUUCUGUAUCAAGUUGGUGCCUCAUCAGCUAACAGUAAUCCUGGGGCUGGUGAGCACAAGGGCCAUUUUCUGGAAAAUUAGUAUCCCGAAAAUCCGGUCCUGACAAUGUGACAAUGAUGAGUGCCGUGACGACUGCAACAUGAAGCUCAACGGCAUUGGCAAGUGUGUUGAUAAGGGUUGCCAAUGCUCAUUUCACUGUGGCACUCCUUCUCCCAUCAAGACAACGUGCAAGUAGCUUAUGUUAAAUUAUAUAAAUGGACCUAGUAUGUAUCUAACAUCAUUUCUCAAUAAUUCUCAGUUGCUCAUUGUAGUGUAAUUUGAGCGUAUUACUCUUGUAUUCUUAAUUUUGGGAGAGGGGGACAUGAUACAAAGUUAUAAGGUGAAAAAUGUUAUGCUCUUGCUUUCUUUUGGAUUACAAAGAUGAACUGCACACACA
rnacentral:lncRNA from 1 species